GCGACAUAAAUCAUUGUGAUUGACAGCCGCUGACCAUGAUAGUGGACGAGGAGGUGGAGUGCUGGUGUGCUUGUGUGCUGGUGGAAAGUGCCCGCAACUAAACUCAUUUAAAUUCCAUUUCAAUUGGCCGAAAAAAAGGCAAUAAUAAAUAAAGCGAAAACAUUUCACGCGCUAAUUACAGGGUGCCAUCGGAGUGAGAGAGAGAGAGAGAGAGAGAGACUGGAGCACUCUGGACACAGAUCAAUCAUAUGGGUAGACCAUGGAUCACGUCUUCCCAACUGCCCGAUGGCUGUGUAAUUGAAACAAAUGCGCAGCUGUGUACAGAAAUUAUUUCAUCAACUGAAAGUUUCGAUUAAAGUAAGUGAGAAAGGGCUUGAUGAACUAGACGAUGGCCUAACUACAGGAUUGGGUGAGACAAU
rnacentral:lncRNA from 1 species